rnacentral:rRNA from 1 species
CAGUAGCCACGGUAAUACGUAGGGUGCAAGCGUUAAUCGGAAUUACUGGGCGUAAAGCGUGCGCAGGCGGUUAUAUAAGACAGAUGUGAAAUCCCCGGGCUCAACCUGGGAACUGCAUUUGUGACUGUAUAGCUAGAGUACGGCAGAGGGGGAUGGAAUUCCGCGUGUAGCAGUGAAAUGCGUAGAUAUGCGGAGGAACACCGAUGGCGAAGGCAAUCCCCUGGGCCUGUACUGACGCUCAUGCACGAAAGCGUGGGGAGAAAACAGGAUUAGAUACCCCGGUAGUCCCUGUCUCUUAUAC